CAGCAGUAGCCGCGGGAAUACAGAGGGUGCGAGCGUUAAUCGGAUUUACUGGGCGUAAAGCGUGCGUAGGCGGCUUCUUAAGUCGGAUGUGAAAUCCCUGAGCUUAACUUAGGAAUUGCAUUCGAUACUGGGAAGCUAGAGUAUGGGAGAGGAUGGUAGAAUUCCAGGUGUAGCGGUGAAAUGCGUAGAGAUCUGGAGGAAUACCGAUGGCGAAGGCAGCCAUCUGGCCUAAUACUGACGCUGAGGUACGAAAGCAUGGGGAGCAAACAGGAUUAGAUACCCGAGUAGUCCCUGUCUCUUAUAC
rnacentral:rRNA from 1 species